rnacentral:lncRNA from 1 species
AUUCCAUUGGAGAAAAGGCUUCAUUUUGCACGUAGAGCCCAGCCUCCAGGUCAAGCCUGCACAGACCCUCGCUUGAUAAAGUCCUGUAGUCUCUCUCAAUGCAGAUUUCUUUUUGACCUCCUCCCCCAGGAUCUUGAAUGGGAUGCUGCACAUUCCUCAUGAGAAACCUGAGGUGGCACUAAAAAGACAGCCGCGGUUUUCCUACUGCCUGCUGCCAAGUUUCUUGAGGGCCCAGCUGUUAAGGGGCUGUGGUUGAGUUUUUCAGCAGGAGCAAGUUACAUAACACCACACCCUUGUCCACAGAGGCUCUGAUGUGGUGAGUACUGUAUCUUUGAUUUAUCCUCACUUCAUUUUGUAUGGUUAUAGUCAUGUUUUGAAAGGCUCAUUGCAGGCUCAAAUGCCUGGAAGUGUGAUGUCUUGGUGACUUACUUUUUCUAAGGUAAAUCCAGCCGCCUUAACAGAGCACAAGCAAAACUGGUCCCUGGAAAAAUUGUUAUCUUAUCAAUUAAGGCAGAAAGGCCCCUACAAUUUUAUGAACUAUCCAGAGAUUUAUAUGAAAUGUUUUUGUGUGUUUUUCUAUAUUCACCCAAUAGGACAAUCAGCUGGCUUACUUGUUUUGUUUACGAAGGUCUCGCUUUGUAUAGAAACUUGAAAGCCCAGGAUUUCAAGCGUUGUGCUUGUCUCUCUGCUUGCUUCAGGUGUAAACUGCUCCCAGGCCAUAGGAUAAAAGUCACUUCAUACUGAUGUAUAGGCCUUAGGUCAAUAGAAAAUCAACAAAUAUAGUUCGAAACAAUGUAUGACUUCAUCUUACCUUACUUUUUUUUUUUAACAGUUUAUAAACACAGUGGUUUACUAGGAAUAAUGGGGGAAACUGCAAAGUUUUAGUGAUUAAUGCCUAUCAUAAAUUAGUGUUGCAGGAGAAGAGUGGAAGCGAGAGUGUUAUGCCCCAGGUCUUGAGCAAAUCCCUGGGAUAGGGCACUAACUGAGAGUCCAUGGCUUCAGGCAGGAAAUAAUUCUAGAGUGAGCCAUAGUAAAGUGAAAGCAGGUUUAUUCAGAGAUACCCAUUCGGAGUUCCUGUCGUGGCUCAGUGGAAACAAAUCUGACCAGUAUCCAUGAGGACGAAGAUUUGAUCCCUGGCCUUGCUCAGUGGGUUAAGGAUCCGGCGUUGCCAUGAGCUGUGGUGUGGGUUGCAAGUGUGGCUCAGAUCCUGCGUUGCUGUGGCUGUGGCUUAAGCAGGCAGCUACAGCUCUGAUUCGACACCUAGCCUGAGAACCUCCAUAUGCUGUGGGUGUGGCCCUAAAGAAAAAAAGGCAAAAACAAAAAAAAACUUUAAACUUUCCAGAAAUUGAGAUUUCCUGCAAUAAAUUUUUGAAAUCAUUUCUUACUGUACCAGUAAGGCUCAGGAUUUGAGGCCUUGGGGAGAGAUUUAUGGCAAGAUGACUGUACAGGUGUUCAUAGUCAAAGAGCAGGUUAAACUGGAAGGUGUCAUAUGUCCUCACUGACCCACCCUCUGGCUUGGUGAGUCACUUUCAUUUGAACUGAAAAUGUCACUCUUUUAUAUGAUUGAUGAAAAACCCUGAGCAUGUAAAUAGAAUGCCUUGGAAAAACAUGUUCAUUCCUUCUUUGAUGGCUGUGCUCAGACUGUAAGGUUACAAGAAAGUCUGGUCUCCGGGAAGGAAUGUGAACAGUUGUUAUUGCCACAGGCUAAGAUGCCUCUGAAAGCUCUCAGGAAUUUAGUGUGGGGUUGGAUGAAUGACAAGGGGUUGGGGGUAAAGAUAAAACAAGAUCAGCCUGAAUUGGUAAUUAUUGAAGCUAGGUGAUAGGUACACAGUAAUUCAUUUUAUUAUUCUCCCUAAUGUGGGGUGUGUGUGUGAGCACUCAUGUCCAUAAUAAAAACUUAGAAAACCUUUCGGCAAUAUGGCCUUUCCACGGCCACGUGCCCUUGCGUUGGCUCUUUAUGGAUCCAAGUACAGCCCUUGAAGCAAGCGUGAGUUAGUAAGAUUUCAUGAUAAAUGAUUGUUAUGGAGUGUAUGUAUGUAUGUAUGUAUUUUUUGCUUUUUAGGACUGAACCUGUGGCAUGUGGAAUUUUCCAGACAGGGUCAAACCAGAGCUUCAGCCGCUGGCCUAAGCCACAACCAUAGCAACAGGGGAUCCGAACCACAUCGUAUCUUCAACCUGCACCACAGCUCAUGGCAAUGCCGGAUCACCGACCCACUGAGUGAGUCCAGGAAUCGAACCUGUAUCCUCAUGGAUACUAGUCAGAUUCGUUUCUGCUUCACCACAACAGGAACUUCUAAUGGAGUGUUUUUAAAGAAAUAGCAAUCCUAGGAGAGAUUUCAAACAGUAUUCCAUGGAAGCAUCUGCCACCAUUCAUUUUAAUUUCAUGUGAUAAAUGAAUCAUAUAGGAAUAUUUUCUAAGGGAAAUUAUAGUAGCCCCUUGCCAAUGAGGCUGGAAGAUCCUGUCUUUACCCUUUGUUAAGUAGACCACUCUUAUUGCAGUCUUAAAAAAAAGAAAACAAAAACAACUUCACAGGAAAUUCAACCUUCUGCAUAAUCUGCCUUAUAAAAGGUACUGAAAUCACCUAUGGUUCAUCAAAUUGAGAUCAUGAGAUAAUAGUGAUUUUUUUUUUUUUAACUUCUUUAGAAAGUCAUGGAUUCCAGAGGAUGUCAUACACAGUAGUCCCUCGCUGAGAGUGGGUAUAGAAAAUCAGAUGUCUAAAAUUUUAAUUGUAGAGUUAAUCCUAUGUUCUGGUGGAAUAUGUUUUGGACAUACAGAAGGUUUAUAUUAGUUAUACAGACAUUUGACCUAUUAGAUGCAUCCUCAUAGGAGGUCGACUAGGUAUUAAAAAUGUAAAGUCAGGAGUUCCCAUCAUUAACGCAGUGGAAACGACUCCAACUAGGAACCAUGAGGCUGUGGGUUCGAUCCCUGGCCUCACUCAGUGGGUUAAGGAUCAGGCAUUGCGAUGACCUGUGGUGUAGGUUGCAGAUGUGGCUUGGAUCCUGAGUUGCUGUGGCUGUGGCGUAGGCCAGCAGCUACAGCUCCAAUUCCACCCCUAGCCUGGGAACCUCCAUGUGCGGCCCUAAAAAGACAAAAAGACAAC